rnacentral:rRNA from 2 species
UGGGGAAUAUUGCACAAUGGGCGAAAGCCUGAUGCAGCGACGCCGCGUGAGGGAUGACGGCCUUCGGGUUGUAAACCUCUUUCAGCAGGGACGAAGCGCAAGUGACGGUACCUGCAGAAGAAGCACCGGCUAACUACGUGCCAGCAGCCGCGGUAAUACGUAGGGUGCAAGCGUUGUCCGGAAUUACUGGGCGUAAAGAGUUCGUAGGCGGUUUGUCGCGUCGUUUGUGAAAACCAGCAGCUCAACUGCUGGCUUGCAGGCGAUACGGGCAGACUUGAGUACUGCAGGGGAGACUGGAAUUCCUGGUGUAGCGGUGAAAUGCGCAGAUAUCAGGAGGAACACCGGUGGCGAAGGCGGGUCUCUGGACAGUAACUGACGCUGAGGAACGAAAGCGUGGGUAGCGAACAGG